AUUGAACGCUGGCGGCAGGCCUAACACAUGCAAGUCGAGCGUGAAAGUCCUUCGGGAUGAGUAAAGCGGCGGACGGGUGAGUAACGCGUAGGAAUCUACCUGAUAGUGGGGGAUAACGUUUGGAAACGAACGCUAAUACCGCAUAAUCUCGCGAGAGUAAAGGUAGGCGCCGCAAGGGCUACCGUCUAAGGAUUGGCUCAUGUCCCAUUAGCUAGUUGGCGGGGUAAUGGCCCACCAAGGCAACGAUGGGUAUGUGGUCUGAGAGGAUGAUCACACACACUGGAACUGAGACACGGUCCAGACUCCUACGGGAGGCAGCAGUAGGGAAUAUUGCACAAUGGGGGGAAACCCUGAUGCAGCAACGCCGCGUGAGUGAAGAAGGCCCUUGGGUUGUAAAGCUCUUUAGCGAGGGAAGAAGGUAGUUACGGUGAAUAAUCGUGAUUGCUGACGGUACCUCGAGAAUAAGCACCGGCUAAUUUCGUGCCAGCAGCCGCGGUAAU
rnacentral:rRNA from 1 species